UAAAAACAUAAAGUUACCAGAUUUUUGAAAUUCUGUUAAUCAACCUUUUCUAAUCAAUUAUUUUUGUUUUUGAUUAUGCUUUAAAGCUAAAAACUAGCACAAACUAGUUGUAGUUGAAUCAGAACAAAAUCUGUUUAAAUAAAUUGUGGAACAGUUCACCUUUGUCACUUUUAUAAUUUGAGGUUAAGUCCAUUUGGGGCUCAUGAAUUGUGUCAGUUGUCAGUCCCUUUAUUGUUUGUAAGCUAUUAUAAAAUUUUUAAAUCUUGAAACAAAAUGAGCAAAAGUGAUAAGUGGGGAAGUGUGUGUCGAGCAUGUCUCUCAGUCAGCAAUGAUUUUUUCCCAAUUUUUGAAACUGAACAGUUGGGGAUCAGUCCAGUCUCCAUGCUGCAAAAUUUAUCACUUGAGCUAAGCGACAAUGUAGAUUUGCCCCGGAAUUUGUGCCAUUCUUGUUACACAAAGCUACGAAUAGGGAACGACUUUGUGGAAAUUUUUAAAAAAUCACAAGAGACGUUACAAAACAGCCUGGACACAAUUCAAACACAAUUUGAAGAAUUUGGCAACGAUACGGAAAGUUUUAUUAUUGAAUGUGAGGACGGUAGUAGGAAAAACAAACAGUACGAUUCAGAUGACCAAGACUAUUUAAUAAAACGGUCAGUCGAACUGACCCAACAGUACAAAAACAACAAAUGGAACGGCGAUAGUGACUCUGAUAAUUGUUCCAUAGACAGUGAAACAGUUGACUCUGACCACGCAACAGAGCCAGCUGAAGAGAAAAAAUCGUGUUCUAGAACCACAGUUCUAAGUUGUCCAGUUUGCCCAAAAACCUUCAAGAGAUUUACUUUGUUCCGUUCACACUUACACUCACACAGUGGCCAAAUAAACUGUGGGCCAUGUUCACGCCAGUUCCACGAUACGGAAGAAUACAUCAAUCACUACCAAAUGAAACACAGGUUUCAAUGCAACAUUUGCCAAAAAUCAUUUCUGUCAAGGGGCUCAUACAGCAAACAUAAAUAUACACACAGUAACGCAACUCCUAGAUUUAAUUGUCCGAUAUCAGACUGUCCAAAGGUGUUCAGCAUAAAGCAGUCUCUGCACAACCACGUGGCCACAAUACACAGCGAAAGAAGAAACUUCUUGUGUAAUAUUUGUGGCGCUUCUUUUAAAAAUCACGAUAACUUGCGGUAUCACAUGAAAAAACAUACGGGAGCUCCACAUUUGUGCACUUAUUGUGGAAGGACGUUUAUGCAAGCCGGUCAUUUGAAAUACCACAUGUGGAAACACACAGGGGUGAAGCCUUACAAGUGUGGUAAAUGCCAUAAAGGUUUUGUGUCCAAGUGGGUGUUGACAAUGCAUGUGAAGAAGAACUGUGGGCAAGUGUAAAACGACAGUAGUUUCAACUUAAUUUAAUGUGUUCUGUUUCACAUUCACAUGACUAUAAAUAAUUGAAAAUAUAUUAAUUUGUUAUUCUAAAAUUAUUUGGGAUAAAAGCAGCACAAAUAGAAGAGUAUUUAAGUCAAGCUACAGUAGCAAGAGCUAGAAUCUGAAGGAUGAUCCUUAUUAUCCACCUGGAAGUUUCCAUUUAAUGCAAAUGAUUCCCAAAGCCCUGGAGUUUGUAUUAUCUAAAAAAUUCGAUUAGUGAUCACGAAGUUGUGACUUAAUCCAUACUUUAUGCACUAGUUCCUCAAAAGCGCACUGGACCCCGUCUCUGGUUUUGGCGCUUGCUUCAAUGUACAGUGUUUGGUGUCUUCUAGCGAAUUUCAUCGCUUCUUCCCUGUUCACUUCCCGAUUUUCCUGAAAGUCAUUAUUACACACAUGAAGCCUUGGAAGUGAUUAUUUACUUUAUCAAUUUUAUUUCCCACAAUCAUUUUGACUAUGUUCGCUUUCGUCGAGUAUGUUUCCAGUUCGUUCAACCAUGUUUCCAGUUUCGCAAAUGUGGAAUAGUUGGUGACAUCAUAAACUAAAAUAGCACCUUGUGCAUCGCGGUAAUAAGAGGGUGUUAAUGUUCGGAAUCGCUCCUGACCAGCUGUGUCCCAUAUUGCCAGCUUUACGGUGUUGUCAUCGACUGUGAGUUUUUUGGUUUUAAAAUCAACGCCAAUUGUUAGCGUUUGAUCAGGAUCGAAGUUGUCUUCAGUAAAGCGGACUAAAAUGCUAAGUAGGUGGUAGUAAGUGGGGUAAAUAGUUUGGUUUCUUGUUCUACCUGGAUUUCCCGACGCCACUCUCUCCAAUUAUCAGGAUUUUUAACGUCGUCAACACCUCUUCGUCCAUUACUAAUCAACAAUGGGGAUUACGCGUAGUUAUGAAACUAAUGCGGAAAACAAUAUUUUCGUGGUUUCUGGAAGUAAUGCGAUUCUUCUACAAUAACUGGCACUGAAUUUUGUUGAAACCAAUUAUAACUUUACGAUUAAAAAAAAAUUUAACAAAUUUUAAUGACAAUUACUUGACAUUGACAUGUUUACAACAGUAAAACAGAUUUCUGCAUUGCCUGCAGUCUGCAACUAAACUUUGAGAAGCGGGUAAUUUGAAAAGAAACGCCAUAUAGUGAUUGAAAAAACUUUUUAUUGACUUAAAAUACAUUAAAACGCCCUUACUUCUAGUUACUUAUCAAACCUAAAUAAUCGUCCAUCAAAGUACCAAUUGCAAACUAAAAAAGAAUCGUAAAAAAUUGGAACUGAAAUAUUUGAUUUAUUACUAUUCCAGUGGCAUCCACACGUGUACCAACUAUUUUCAAUCUAAUUUCUCCUUCAGCAUGAAUAACAACAUCCUCAUCUUUGGUUUUGUAACACUGAGGAUUUACAUUUGGACAAAACUCCAUCUCUGCCGGUAUAGACUAAAAAAUAGUGUCACAAUAUUAUCACACCCUUUAAAAAAAAACUCACAUGAUGUGAGAUAAAGCAUGAUAAAGGUCCAAUUUCUGCAAACAUUCCCACCUAGAAAAAACCCAAUCUUGUAAAAAAAGAAGUGAAAAUAUUCCGUAAUCACUUUGUUAACUUGCCGUACGACAGCAUCAAGCACUUCUCCCUUAAAUGGUCUGAAAACUAUAGCUUUAUACUUUACUGGAUACACCACAUAUCCCUGGCCAGGUAAAAUAAGGCCAGCCCCUAUGCUAUCUAUCGUGGUUACAGCAAUUACAAAACCGUAUCUAAAAUUAAAGAAUGAAGAUAAACACUUUUAAGUAAAUUUGAAUACAGACUUUCCCGUACAGGUCCCUUCGACUUCUGUAUACAGCUUGGUUUUCACCUUUUCAAGUAGCUGUGGGCCGAAAUAUUGCGGGUGUAAUAAAAUUUCAUGCUCCAACGAUAUCUAAAAAGUAUUGUGUAUAAAACAGUGAUUUAUUUAGUCGUAAUAUUACAUGAUAAAACAUUUUUUUUGUUUAAAAACACAAACAAUUCCGCGUUAAUUUGCCGCUCAAAUCUAAGGUUAUGUUUUUGUUGGCAGUUGUAUCAAAUACCAACCCAACAAAGCGCUAAUAAUUAAAAUUAGUAAUUUAUUUUUGUUGUUCAAUGUUAUUAAGUUGUAAAAGUCCAUUCCAUACUUAACAAAAUGAUUAUUUAAUCAUUCCUAUUGUUAUCUCUUAUUGUUAAGACACCUAAAUUUUAAAAUACGCGCUAUCAGUCGUGACGUCACCUCCCCACUCUUAUUACGGUAGGUCAGUUGCUCAAAGCUAAACAACCAGUCUUUUACAUGUGGUGUAAUACGUUUUUCGGUUUUUUGGUUGUGUUUGUGCGUUAAUAACGUGUCAAAUAGCUGCAGCGGGUGUAAUUUGUGCCACUAGAGACUUUAAUUUAAUUUAGAAGUGACUUUUUGUGAAAAUACGAACUUUAUAAAAGAAUACAGGGAACCACGUUGUCGGUGAGAAAUGGCAGAAAAGCACAUUGUUAAGUUUCACUUUAUUGCGAAAUUUUUUGGGGACGGUAAUCGCUUUUUAGUUCGGGGAGAAAAUGCUUUUACCAGCGGUCACGUCACCAAAUUUAGGUUUGAUGGCACAGUACAACCGAUGAGAAUUUCUGCAGAAGUUCUACCGAGCAUGAAAAAGCUAAAUUAUACUGUGGAGAUUUCAUAUGACCUAGAAGAAGGGGUUAAGACGGCACAUUGUACCUGCCCAAGGGGCAACGUGGCUUGCCAUCAUAUGGCUGCAGCAUUAUAUUAUGCUCAUUAUAAUGUAAGUGCUACUGACAUUGAGUGUCAGUGGAGUGCCCCAUCAAAAACAACACCACAAACAGAAGUCAUUAAGUUAGCUGAUGUUUACAAGCCGAAAUUAUCAAACUAUACGGCACUGUCUAGGUCCUCUACUGAGGACGAAAUUAUUCAGUUCCGUGCCGAAAUAGGCGUCACGAAUGUGGUGGGCUUCACUUGGCUCCUAAGACCAGAAGCAAGUGAAGAAGCCAGAAAAAUUAUUGCAGAUAUCGAAGAAAUUCUACAAAGCUUAGAAUACGUGCAGGCCAUAGACAAACAAAAGUUUCUUUUGGAGAAGUGCAGAAUAGAUGAGGCACGCAUUAAACUGGUUGAGGCGUGCACUCGGGGCCAACAUGUUAACGAAAAUUGGCAUGUAGCAAGGAAACAUCGUUUAACGGCCAGCAGGUUUGGCAUGGUACUAUCUGCUUGCAGUAGACGAAGAUUCCCACCCUCUUUAUUUAAAAAUUUGGCGGAAGGCUAUUCGCUUGACAGGGUUGCUGCUGUGCAGUGGGGUAAGACCCACGAGAAGACAGCGCUCAGAGAAUUUGAAGAAGCGACGAAUCUUAAAGUCCAAGAGACGGGAUUUUGGUUGGAAGAAUCAGGCUUUUUGGGAGCAAGUCCUGAUGGAUUAGUGGAAGAAGAUGGGAUUCUCGAAAUUAAAUGCCCAUAUAAAUAUAGGGACACUGACAGUUUGUCUGAAGCCCUGAAGGAUAAAAAAUAUUUUUAUUGGAGGGAUGAAAAUGAGGACAUUAAUCUUAACAGCAAUCACAAUUAUUACCACCAAGUACAGGGGCAAAUGCACAUCACUGGUCGAAGUAUCUGCUACUUUGUCGUGUGGACACCAAAGUGCACAGAGAUAUUUCAAAUUGAAAAAGAUCCGGGGUGGUCAGAAAAUAUCAAUAUUUUAAAAGAAUUUUAUCUUGACCAAUAUAUUUCCUUUAUUUCACAAUAAUAAACUGUAUAUAAAUA